rfam:Grifola frondosa strain 9006-11 000063F, whole genome shotgun sequence.
GUAAUAUUAGUUUAAUUGGCAAAAUAACGUCUUGUGGCGACGAUGUUCAGAGUUCAAGUCUCUGAUUUUACC